rnacentral:rRNA from 1 species
AUUGAACGCUGGCGGCAGGCUUAACACAUGCAAGUCGAGCGGAGAUGAGGUGCUUGCACCUUAUCUUAGCGGCGGACGGGUGAGUAAUGCUUAGGAAUCUGCCUAUUAGUGGGGGACAACAUUCCGAAAGGAUUGCUAAUACCGCAUACGUCCUACGGGAGAAAGCAGGGGAUCUUCGGACCUUGCGCUAAUAGAUGAGCCUAAGUCGGAUUAGCUAGUUGGUGGGGUAAAGGCCUACCAAGGCGACGAUCUGUAGCGGGUCUGAGAGGAUGUUCCGCCACACUGGGACUGAAACACGGCCCAGACUCCUACGGGAGGCAGCAGUGGGGAAUAUUGGACAAUGGGGGGAACCCUGAUCCAGCCAUGCCGCGUGUGUGAAGAAGGCCUUAUGGUUGUAAAGCACUUUAAGCGAGGAGGAGGCUACUGAGACUAAUACUCUUGGAUAGUGGACGUUACUCGCAGAAUAAGCACCGGCUAACUCUGUGCCAGCCGCCGCGGUAACAC